CCAGGGAAGGCAGCAGGCGCGUAAAUUACUCUAUGCCAACGCGGCGAAGUAGUGACGAAAAAUAGGACUGGGUAGCGCUUUGCGUUAUCUUUGUCCAAUGAGAGCAAUGUAAAAGCCUCAUCGAGGAUCCAUUGGAGGGCAAGUCUGGUGCCAGCAGCCGCGGUAAUUCCAGCUCCAAUAGCGUACACUAAAGUUGUUGCAGUUAAAAAGCUCGUAGUCUAAUGUAUGGGAGUUGCGGUGUGGGUGUUUGGUUGGUUUUGCCGACUAGACAAUACUCGCUCCGCUUCCCGCUUGUUUUGCUCUCUUUUCUAGAAGGCAAAUGUUUCACUGUAAGUAAAACAACUCGCUCAACAGCAAGGUUAUCUUGAUAUGAAUUAGUAUGGGAUGAUGAGAUAGGCUCGGUCCGUAUUUUGUUGGUUUUAGUGGUCUGAGAAUGAUGAAGAGGGACAAUUGGGGGUAUUCGUAUUUACAUGUCAGAGGUGGAAUUCUUGGAUUUUGGAAAGACGAACUAAUGCGAAAGCAUCUACCAAAGAUGUUUUCAUUGAUCAAGAACGAAAGUUUGGGGAUCGAAGAUGAUUAGAUAC
rnacentral:rRNA from 1 species